rnacentral:rRNA from 1 species
UACGUAGGGGGCAAGCGUUGUCCGGAAUCAUUGGGCGUAAAGAGCGCGUAGGCGGCCAGAUAAGUCCGCUGUGAAAUCUCGAGGCUCAACUUCGAGCUGUCGGUGGAAACUGUCUGGCUAGAGUCCGGAAGAGGAGAAUGGAAUUCCUGGUGUAGCGGUGAAAUGCGCAGAUAUCAGGAGGAACACCUGUGGCGAAAGCGGCUCACUGGACCACAACUGACGCUGAGGCGCGAAAGCUAGGGGAGCAAACAGG